rnacentral:rRNA from 1 species
AAAGUCGAACGGCAGCACGGACUUCUGGUCUGGUGGCGAGUGGCGAACGGGUGUAGCACGUAUCGGAACGUGCCCAGUAGCGGGGAUAACUACGCGAAAGCGUAGCUAAUGGUCGUGCGGGCUACUGCCCUACGGGGGAAAGCAGGGGAUCGCAAGACCUUGCACUAUUGGAGCGGCCGAUAUCGGAUUAGCUAGCUGGUGGGGUAACGGCUCACCAAGGCGACGAUCCGUAGCUGGUUUGAGAGGACGACCAGCCACACUGGGACUUGAGACACGGCCCAGACUCCUACGGGGCCGGAGGCAGCAGUGGGGAAUUUUGGACAAUGGGGGAAACCCCGAUCCAGCCAUCCCGCGUGUGCGAUGAAGGCCUUCGGGUUGUAAAGCACUUUUGGCAGGAAAGAAACGUCGUGGGUUAAUACCCCGCGAACUGACGGUACCUGCAGAAUAAGCACCGGCUAACUACGUGCCACAGCAGCCGCGGUAAUACGUAGGGUGCAAGCGUUAAUCGGAAUUACUGGCGUAAGCGCAGGCGGUUCGAAAAAGAAAGAUGAAAUCCCAGAGCUUAACUUUGAACUGCAUUUUUAACUACCGGGCUAGAGUGUCAGAGGGAGGUGGAAUUCCGCGUGUAGCAGUGAAAUGCGUAGAUAUGCGGAGGAACACCGGAUGGCGAAGGCAGCCUCCUGGGAUAACACUGAUGCUCAUGCACGAAAAAGCGUGGGGAGCAAACAGGAUUAGAUACUCCUGGUAGUCCACGCCCUAAACGAUGUCAACUAGCUGUUGGGGCCUUCGGGUAGCGCAGCUAACGCGCAGGAAGUUGACCGCCUGGGGAGUACGGUCGCAAGAUUAAAACUCAAAGGAAUUGACGGGACCCGCACAAGCGGUGGAUGAAGUGGAUUAAUUCGAUGCAACGCGAAAACCUUACCUUACCCUUGACAUGUCUGGAAUGCCGAAGAGAUUUGGCAGUGCUCGCAAGAGAACCGGAACACAGGUGCUGCAUGGCUGUCGUCAGUUCGUGUCGUGAGAUGUUGGGUUAAGUCCCGCAACGAGCGCAACCUUGUCAUUAGUUGCGCAUGAAAGGGCAACACAGAUUCUGUUGGUGACAGAAACCGAGAAGGGGAUGACGUCAAGUCCUCAUGGCUCCAGGGUAGGGCUUCACACGUCAUACAUGGUCGGGACAGAGGGUCGCCAACCCGCGAGGGGAGCCAAUCCCAGAACCUGAUCGUAGUCCGGAUCGCAGUCUGCAACUCGACUGCGUGAAGUCGGAAUCGCUAGUAAUCGCGGAUCAGCAUGUCGCGGUGAAUACGUUCCCUGGGUCUUGUACACACCGCCCGUCACACCAUGGGGAGUGGUUUUACCAGAAGUAGUUAGCCUAACCGCAAGGGGGGGCGAUUACCACGGUAGGAUUCAUGACUGGGGUGAAGUCGUAACAAGGUAA